AGGGCACCGAGGAGCACCUCCCCCAACCCCCACCUGCAUCUGAGGCCAGGCGGGUGAAGCCAGAGCCCUGACAGCACCCUGGUGGUCACUUCGCAGUUUAACUUCCAGGCUGCACAAUGAGGAAACUGAUGUACGAAGAUGUUAUACGACUUGCCAGAUAACAUCAUCCAACAGCUGUCCUGCCAGGGAUUGUAAUUCAGGAACCGAUCUCAAGCUGAGCAGAGGAAAAAAUGAGAUGCUUAAUGAAAAUGGCCAAAUGUCAUUACCAGCUAUUUCGUGAGAAGAGCGGGAUCAGUAUCCACCCCUGCGUAAAAUGGGCUUUCUCCGACUUCCAG
rnacentral:lncRNA from 1 species